GUUCAGACUGUGCCUGCUCUUAUAUUCCAAGUGAACUCAUGACUCUUGUUCCUCUCCCACCUGAUUAUAAGCCACUUAAUUUAUCUCAGAGCAUCAGCCCAAACCUGGGACAUCCUGAGACGCCAAUGACUAUGGAAGAAUGGAAGGAAAGAGAGGAAGGGGGGAGGUGGGAGAGAAGGUAAGACAGCUGAGAAGCCUACAUACAGACCCAAGUGAAACAAGAACUGAAAAUGAGCAGCAGGACCAGGCUCAAGUGGACAGCUGCAAGACCCAGAAAAUUUGGUGGAAUCUCUGAAAAAUUCAGUGGGCUCAGCUCAGUGGAGAAGAGGUCCAAAACUGCUCCAGUGGCCAAGACAGGAAAGCCUGAGGACGAGGAAGGGGUACAGAGACAGGGGCUCCUACUCUUUGUUCCCCUGAGGGCCAGGCCCAGAAGUGAGCACAGAGCCUGGCAAACAGGGAAACAGGUGUUCCCCAAAAACUAUGUUGAAUAAAUGUGAAGCUCAUUUACAAGGCCCCUUCCAGCUCUGACAUUCUGGGACCCUGCCUUUUUCAGACCUCUCAUUUCAGGCAGGUCCCUCUGACACCCCCAUGGCUGGGCCUAGCAAAAUAAGAGAAGGAUAAAACUGCAUUUUGAAGGACAGAACGAGGCAGAAGCAAAAGCCUGGCCUUGGGACAUCACCUCACUUGACCCUGGGAAGUAACCUCAAGUUCCAGCUUGAGGAACUCCCCGGACUACUGACUGAACUACUUUUCCUGUUUUCUCCAAGGAAGAACACUGUGCCCAUUGAUGGCAGCAGAUACUAUCUCGUGGGAAGAGUCAAGGCACAGAAACCACCUCUUGAUGACCCAUUUGAUUGAUGGGCUUCGCUGCAGAACUCUGUUCCACCUUGUCCCCGCACUGGAGCCCUCCACACCCUGUAACUUAGAGAAGGGCUAGCUCCCAGCAUCAGGCAUAUUCCCAUUCUUCAUUCCACUCCCUUCUAUUCUUACUGACGAAGGAGCUGAGCCUGGCUGGCGCUUCCUAAGGCUGAACGAUUUAGGGAAAUUCUUCUGUGCCUUAACCUGCAGGCCACAGGAGGGGAGACUUCAUAUUCUUUCAAGGUCUAACCUACGAAAAGGAAAGUGAAAGUCAGAGUCACAGAGAAAGACAGUUACCAAAAUGCCACUGCUCCCUGGUUAGUCGGGGCAGUGUUGGCAGCAUUGGGCUCCAUGUUUCAGUGCCUUUGGCCCAAGCACCUCCCUGGGCCUUGACUUGAAUAUAUGUGGUUCUGCACUAGCUCUAGAACCUUCUGGAACCUCCCAGAACUGAUCUGCCAGUCUGAAUAUUGGCAGAAGCCCAGAUCCCUCAGGUGAAGAGGACAAGGAUGAGUACUGCGUGCGAGAGUCACUCUCAGGGACCAUGAGAGGGAUUUGAGAGCAACUUGAGGGGCUGGAGCCCCACAGGGCAGCAGUGGGGAGUGGUCAGCACCAGAGGGAUAUUGUUUUGUGGUCACUGCUGCUAUUCUAAGCCCCAGCGAAGUGGGCAGUCUCCCACAGUCUUGCUGCAUUCAGAACUACUGGACUAAGAUGACUCCUGAGGAGACGUUUGGGAGUGAAUAGAAAUGACAACUCCAAGCCCAGAAGGCAGCCUGCACCGUGCUGUGGCAGCAGAAGCCUGCCUGGGGCUGGGCAAGGGGCGAGGAAUCCACCGCCUGACAGCUGCAAAGGACAGAGGACAACAUCCACAGGGGCAAGAGAAGGCAAAGCUGCCUCUUCUCAUAAUUAUCCAGUGACUGUCAGGACAGGUUUUCCGGACCCACAUGGGUCCAGGUCCAGGAUAUGGGGCCUCUGAGCACUGUGCCAGGCCUGGGGGCGGGGGGGGGGGGGGGGUGUGGCGGGCAGGAGAAUAG
ensembl:lncRNA